rnacentral:rRNA from 1 species
AGUCGAACGGAAUCCUUAGGGAUUUAGUGGCGGACGGGUGAGUAACACGUAAGAACCUGCCUCUAGGACGGGGACAACAGUUGGAAACGACUGCUAAACCCGGAUGAGCCGAAAGGUAAAAGAUUAAUCGCCUAGAGAGGGGCUUGCGUCUGAUUAGCUAGUUGGUGAGGUAAGAGCCCACCAAGGCGACGAUCAGUAGCUGGUCUGAGAGGAUGAUCAGCCACACUGGGACUGAGACACGGCCCAGACUCCUACGGGAGGCAGCAGUGGGGAAUUUUCCGCAAUGGGCGAAAGCCUGACGGAGCAAGACCGCGUGGGGGAGGAAGGUUCUUGGAUUGUCAACCCCUUUUCUCAGGGAAGAACACAAUGACGGUACCUGAGGAAAAAGCAUCGGCUAACUCCGUGCCAGCAGCCGCGGUAAUACGGGGGAUGCAAGCGUUAUCCGGAAUGAUUGGGCGUAAAGAGUCCGUAGGUAGUCAUCCAAGUCUGCUGUUAAAGAGCGAGGCUUAACCUCGUAAAGGCAGUGGAAACUGGAAGACUAGAGUGUAGUAGGGGCAGAGGGAAUUCCUGGUGUAGCGGUGAAAUGCGUAGAGAUCAGGAAGAACACCGGUGGCGAAGGCGCUCUGCUGGGCUAUAACUGACACUGAGGGACGAAAGCUAGGGGAGCGAAUGGGAUUAGAUACCCCAGUAGUCCUAGCGGUAAACGAUGGAAACUAGGUGUGGCCUGUAUCGACCCGGGCCGUGCCGAAGCAAACGCGUUAAGUUUCCCGCCUGGGGAGUACGCACGCAAGUGUGAAACUCAAAGGAAUUGACGGGGGCCCGCACAAGCGGUGGAGUAUGUGGUUUAAUUCGAUGCAACGCGAAGAACCUUACCAGGACUUGACAUCUCUGGAAUCUCCUUGAAAGGGGAGAGUGCCGUAAGGAACCGGAAGACAGGUGCUGCAUGGCUGUCGUCAGCUCGUGUCGUGAGAUGUUGGGUUAAGUCCCGCAACGAGCGCAACCCUCGUCGUUAGUUGCCAUCAUUAAGUUGGGAACUCUAGCGAGACUGCCGGUGACAAACCGGAGGAAGGUGAGGAUGACGUCAAGUCAGCAUGGCCCUUACGUCCUGGGCGACACACGUACUACAAUGCGAGGGACACAGAGCAGCCAACCCGCGAGGGAGAGCGAAUCUCACAAACCCUGGCACAGUUCAGAUUGCAGGCUGCAACUCGCCUGCAUGAAGGAGGAAUCGCUAGUAAUCGCAGGUCAGCAUACUGCGGUGAAUCCGUUCCCGGGCCUUGUACACACCGCCCGUCACACCAUGGAAGUGAGCCACGCCCGAAGUCAUUACUCUAACCCUUUCGGGGGAGGAGGGUGCCAAAGCGGGGGUUGAUGACUGGGGU